rnacentral:rRNA from 1 species
UACAGAGGUCUCGAGCGUUAGGCGGAAUCACUGGGCUUAAAGCGUGUGUAGGCGGAUCGGUAAGUACCUUGUGAAAUCCCACAGCUUAACUGUGGAACUGCUUGGUAUACUGUCAGUCUUGAGCCAGCUAGGGGCUACCGGAACAAAUGGUGGAGCGGUGAAAUGCGUAGAUAUCAUUUGGAACGCCAAUGGUGAAAACAGGUAGCUGGGGCUGUGCUGACGCUGAGACACGAAAGCCAGGGGAGCAAACGGG